rnacentral:rRNA from 1 species
GACAGAGGGUGCAAACGUUGUUCGGAAUUACUGGGCGUAAAGGGUGCGUAGGCGGGUCUUUAAGUCAGGGGUGAAAUCCUGGAGCUCAACUCCAGAACUGCCUUUGAUACUGAAGAUCUUGAGUUCGGGAGAGGUGAGUGGAACUGCGAGUGUAGAGGUGAAAUUCGUAGAUAUUCGGAAGAACACCAGUGGCGAAGGCGACUCACUGGCCCGUUACUGACGCUGAGGCGCGAAAGCGUGGGGAGCAAACAGG